AUAACGAAUUUAUCACGUAUCUUCUCAUCUCAUUUCUUUUAUAUUUGACACUCUAGUAUGUUGUUCAUAGCAUAUCCGAUAUAUUUCUUACAAUUUCACUUAGUUGUGUUUAAUGGGAUGUAAUCCUUGCUAUGAUUCGAUGGUCUCAAAAAUUAUAAUAGCUUCCAGUCAACUUGGGUGUUCAAAGGAGAUAAUCACCAUUGCUGCUGUUCUUUCCGUCCAAUCCAUCUGGAUCUCAGAGAGAGAUACAAAAGGAAUAUGAUGAAGCAAAAUUGAGAUUUGCUGCUGCCGAGAGAAACGUUCUUGAAGUUAGAGAACAAUUCAAAAGAACUGCAAAGAGGAUAAGACUAGUCUUGAAAUCUUGUGAAAGUGAUAUGCGGGCAGUUUGAAAAAUCAGCUGACCCGGAGCUUCCUGGGCAUCUUCUACUGGAACAGUAUCAGGUAUUUAACAAGAUGUGCCAAAUUUGUUUUCCCUGGCAAGAUUUCCGAAAUUGCUUCUGUAAAGCCAAUUGUGGGCUUCCCUUGAACAUUUCAUAAAUUAUUAUUUGGAAGUUGCAAAUAUAUUUGCAAAGUUCCUCAAGUUUGCAAUUAAAUAUAGCUCAGUAGUAUUUGAAAAUUUCAUAUACUAACAAGUGGAAUCAUCAGUGGAGAUCAAGUGGUGGUCAAGCGCAUAUUCUCGUUAAUUUCUCGACCUUUUUUCCAAAAAAGCUCAAAUAUUCUGGGAAAGUACUGGAUCCAUACAUUGAAAGAUUAUAGUUAUAUAUGCUUAUGCCAAAAAGGUGU